UACAGAGGGUGCGAGCGUUAAUCGGAAUUACUGGGCGUAAAGAGUGCGUAGGCUGUUUGGUAAGUCGAGCGUGAAAUCCCCGAGCUUAACUUGGGAAUUGCGUUCGAUACUGUCAGGCUAGAGUAUGGCAGAGGCAAGUGGAAUUUCCGGUGUAGCGGUGAAAUGCGUAGAUAUCGGAAGGAACACCAGUGGCGAAGGCGACUUGCUGGGCCAAUACUGACGCUGAGGCACGAAAGCGUGGGGAGCAAACAGG
rnacentral:rRNA from 1 species